AGGACUUGACAUGGGCAAGACGCGUCCAGAGAUGGGCGUUCCCGCAAGGGCGGCUCGCAC
rnacentral:rRNA from 1 species